rnacentral:rRNA from 1 species
GGCAGACUAGAGUGCGGUAGGGGAGACUGGAAAUUCCUGGUGUAGCGGUGGAAUGCGCAGAUAUCAGGAGGAACACCGAUGGCGAAGGCAGGUCUCUGGGCCGCAACUGACGCUGAGGAGCGAAAGCAUGGGGAGCGAACAGGAUUAGAUACCCUGGUAGUCCAUGCCGUAAACGUUGGGCACUAGGUGUGGGGCUCAUUCCACGAGUUCCGUGCCGCAGCAAACGCAUUAAGUGCCCCGCCUGGGGAGUACGGCCGCAAGGCUAAAACUCAAAGGAAUUGACGGGGGCCCGCACAAGCGGCGGAGCAUGCGGAUUAAUUCGAUGCAACGCGAAGAACCUUACCAAGGCUUGACAUGCACGGGAAGCCACCAGAGAUGGUGGUCUCUUUGGACACUCGUGCACAGGUGGUGCAUGGUUGUCGUCAGCUCGUGUCGUGAGAUGUUGGGUUAAGUCCCGCAACGAGCGCAACCCUCGUCCCAUGUUGCCAGCGGGUUAUGCCGGGGACUCAUGGGAGACUGCCGGGGUCAACUCGGAGGAAGGUGGGGAUGACGUCAAAUCAUCAUGCCCCUUAUGUCUUGGGCUUCACGCAUGCUACAAUGGCCGGUACAAAGGGCUGCGAUACCGUAAGGUGGAGCGAAUCCCAAAAAGCCGGUCUCAGUUCGGAUUGGGGUCUGCAACUCGACCCCAUGAAGUCGGAGUCGCUAGUAAUCGCAGAUCAGCAACGCUGCGGUGAAUACGUUCCCGGGCCUUGUACACACCGCCCGUCAAGUCACGAAAGUCGGUAACACCCGAAGCC